rnacentral:siRNA from 1 species
AGAAGGCUCUCAACGGUAUCAACG